rnacentral:rRNA from 1 species
CCCUUAGAUGUCCUGGGCUGCACGCGCGCUACACUGAUGUGUCCAGUAAGCACCUAACCUCUUCCGAAGGGAACGGGUAACCUUAGCAAAGCACAUCGUGAUGGGGAUAGAUUAUUGCAAUUAUUAGUCUUGAACGAGGAAUUCCUAGUAAGCACAAGUCAUCAGCUUGUGUUGAUUACGUCCCUGCCCUUUGUACACACCGCCCGUCGCUCCUACCGAUUGAAUGUUCCGGUGAAUACUUCGGACUGCGUGGUUUGCAGUUUCUGCAUUCCUUGCGGAAAGUUGAAUAAACCUUAACAUUUAGAGGAAGGAGAAGUCGUAACA